rnacentral:rRNA from 1 species
GUGAACGCUGGCGGUAGGCCUAACACAUGCAAGUCGAACGGCAGCACAGUAAGAGCUUGCUCUUUCGGGUGGCGAGUGGCGGACGGGUGAGGAAUACAUCGGAAUCUACUUUUUCGUGGGGGAUAACGUAGGGAAACUUACGCUAAUACCGCAUACGACCUACGGGUGAAAGCAGGGGAUCUUCGGACCUUGCGCGAUUGAAUGAGCCGAUGUCGGAUUAGCUAGUUGGCGGGGUAAAGGCCCACCAAGGCGACGAUCCGUAGCUGGUCUGAGAGGAUGAUCAGCCACACUGGAACUGAGACACGGUCCAGACUCCUACGGGAGGCAGCAGUGGGGAAUAUUGGACAAUGGGCGCAAGCCUGAUCCAGCCAUACCGCGUGGGUGAAGAAGGCCUUCGGGUUGUAAAGCCCUUUUGUUGGGAAAGAAAAGCAGCAGGUUAAUACCCCGCUGUUCUGACGGUACCCAAAGAAUAAGCACCGGCUAACUUCGUG